GAUGAAGAACGUAGCGAAAUGCGAUACGUAAUGUGAAUUGCAGAAUUCAGUGAAUCAUCGAGUCUUUGAACGCACAUUGCGCCCCCUGGAAUUCCGGGGGGCAUGCCUGUUCGAGCGUCUCAGGGACGAACCCUCGCGCGGGUGUACGCGCGGUCGUGGCUGCGGUGGCGUGCCCGAGGCGGCGGCCACCGCGCUGGAAUCCAUGGGCGGACGCCUGCCGCGUGGCCGAGCGUGAUAUGACGCAUUGGCGCUCGCACGCGGCGAGGCUGCCAGCCCUGGCCCGUCUGUCGGGCGGGGGAGAGCAAGACACGUGAACUCCUCGAAUCAGGUAGGGAUACCCGCUGAACUUAAGCAUAUCAAUAAGCGGAGGA
rnacentral:misc_RNA from 1 species